rnacentral:rRNA from 1 species
GACGAACGCUGGCGGCGUGCCUAAUACAUGCAAGUUGAGCGCUGAAGGUUGGUACUUGUACCAACUGGAUGAGCAGCGAACGGGUGAGUAACACGUGGGGAAUCUGCCUUUGAGCGGGGGACAACAUUUGGAAACGAAUGCUAAUACCGCAUAAAAACUUUAAACACAAGUUUUAAGUUUGAAAGAUGCAAUUACAUCACUCAAAGAUGAUCCCGCGUUGUAUUAGCUAGUUGGUGAGGUAAAGGCUCACCAAGGCGAUGAUACAUAGCCGACCUGAGAGGGUGAUCGGCCACAUUGGGACUGAGACACGGCCCAAACUCCUACGGGAGGCAGCAGUAGGGAAUCUUCGGCAAUGGACGAAAGUCUGACCGAGCAACGCCGCGUGAGUGAAGAAGGUUUUCGGAUCGUAAAACUCUGUUGGUAGAGAAGAACGUUGGUGAGAGUGGAAAGCUCAUCAAGUGACGGUAACUACCCAGAAGGGGACGGCUAACUACGUG